rnacentral:rRNA from 1 species
CGGCGGACGGGUGAGUAACACGUGGGUAACCUGCCUGUAAGACUGGGAUAACUCCGGGAAACCGGGGCUAAUACCGGAUGGUUGUUUGAACCGCAUGGUUCAAACAUAAAAGGUGGCUUCGGCUACCACUUACAGAUGGACCCGCGGCGCAUUAGCUAGUUGGUGAGGUAACGGCUCACCAAGGCGACGAUGCGUAGCCGACCUGAGAGGGUGAUCGGCCACACUGGGACUGAGACACGGCCCAGACUCCUACGGGAGGCAGCAGUAGGGAAUCUUCCGCAAUGGACGAAAGUCUGACGGAGCAACGCCGCGUGAGUGAUGAAGGUUUUCGGAUCGUAAAGCUCUGUUGUUAGGGAAGAACAAGUACCGUUCGAAUAGGGCGGUACCUUGACGGUACCUAACCAGAAAGCCACGGCUAACUACGUGCCAGCAGCCGCGGUAAUACGUAGGUGGCAAGCGUUGUCCGGAAUUAUUGGGCGUAAAGGGCUCGCAGGCGGUUUCUUAAGUCUGAUGUGAAAGCCCCCGGCUCAACCGGGGAGGGUCAUUGGAAACUGGGGAACUUGAGUGCAGAAGAGGAGAGUGGAAUUCCACGUGUAGCGGUGAAAUGCGUAGAGAUGUGGAGGAACACCAGUGGCGAAGGCGACUCUCUGGUCUGUAACUGACGCUGAGGAGCGAAAGCGUGGGGAGCGAACAGGAUUAGAUACCCUGGUAGUCCACGCCGUAAACGAUGAGUGCUAAGUGUUAGGGGGUUUCCGCCCCUUAGUGCUGCAGCUAACGCAUUAAGCACUCCGCCUGGGGAGUACGGUCGCAAGACUGAAA